CAGAGGCAGUCGGGGUUAGAGAGGACUGGGAGGCAGACACUUUGCUGUGUUCAAAUCGAAGUAAAGUUUCCUUUAGGGUGCAAAAAUGCAGAGCAAUAAAACCUUUAACUUGGAGAAGGAGAAUCAUACUCCAAGGAAGCAUCACCAACAUCACCAUCAUCACCAUCAUCACCAUCAUCAUCAUCAUCACCAGCAGCAGCCGCCGCCACCCCGACCAAUACCUGCAAAUGGACAGCAGGCCAGCAGCCAGAAUGAAGGCUUGACUAUUGACCUGAAGAAUUUUAGGAAACCAGGAGAGAAGACCUUUACCCGACGUAGCCGUCUCUUUGUGGGCAAUCUUCCCCCUGACAUCACUGAGGAGGAAAUGAGGAAACUUUUUGAGAAAUGUGGAAAAGCAGGUGAAGUUUUCAUUCAUAAGGAUAAAGGCUUUGGCUUUAUUCACUUGGAAACACGAACCCUAGCGGAAAUCACCAAAGUGGAGCUGGACAAUAUGCCACUCCACUCCGUGGAAAGCAGCUACGAGUGCGCUUUGCCUGUCACAGUGCAUCCCUUACAGUCUGUAACCUUCCUCAGUACGUGUCCAACGAACUUCUGGAAGAAGCCUUUUCUUUGUUUGGUCAGGUGGAGAGGGCUGUAGUCAUUGUGGAUGACCGAGAAGGCCCUCGGAGAAAGGCAUUGUUGAGUUCUCAGGGAAGCCAGCUGCUCGGAAAGCUCUGGACAGAUGCAGUGAAGGCUCCUUCUUGCUAACCACAUUUCCUCGACCUGUGACUGUGGAGCCUAUGGACCACCCAGAUUUGCACAACCUGGGUCCUUUGAGUAUGAGUAUGCCAUGUGCUGGAAGGCACUCAUUGAGAUGGAGAAGUAACAGCAGGAUCAAGUGGACGGGAACAUCAAGGAAGCUCGUGAAAAGCUGGAGAUGGAAACGGAGGCAGCAAUGCAGCACGCCAUGAGCACCAGGUUAUGCUAAUGAGGCAGGAUUUGAUGAGACAUCAAGAACAGCUUCGGAGGAUGGAGAAGCUGCAUAACCAAGAGGUUCAGAAACGAAAGCAGUUAGAACUCAGGCAGGAAGAGGAACGCAGGCACCGAGAGGAAGAGAUGCGUCGACAAGAAGAAAUGACGCAUCGACAGCAGGAAGGCUUCAAGGGAACUUUCCCUGAUGUGAGAGAACAAGAGAUACGGAUGGGCCAAAUGGCUAUGGGAGGUGCUAUGGGCAUAAACAAUAGAGGUGCCAUGCCCCCUGCUCCUGUGCCACUUGGUACUCCAGCUCCUCCAGGACCUGCCACUAUGAUGCCAGAUGAAACCCUUGGAUUGACCCCACCAACAACCGAACGUUUUGGCCAAGCUGCUACAAUGGAAGGAAUUGGAGCAAUUGGUGGAACUCCUCCUGCAUUCAACCGUCCAGCUCCAGGAGCUGAAUUUGCUCCAAAUAAACACCGCCGAUAUUAGAUAAAGUUGCAUCGUCUAGUUUCCUGCAGCCCUUAAAAGAAGGGCCCUUUUCGGACUAGCCAGAAUUCUACCCUGGAAAAGUGUUAGGGGUUCUUCUCAAUAGAUAGGUCUUCCCUGCUUGUACUACUCUAGGGAGUAUGCUUGAAGGCAGAGGGGCAAGGGAGGGGUGGUGUUUAACAAGUCA